rnacentral:rRNA from 1 species
GACGAACGCUGGCGGCGUGCUUAACACAUGCAAGUCGUACGGUAAGGCCCUUUCGGGGGUACACGAGUGGCGAACGGGUGAGUAACACGUGAGUAACCUGCCCACAACUUUGGGAUAACGCUAGGAAACUGGUGCUAAUACUGGAUAUGUGCUCCUGCUGCAUGGUGGGGGUUGGAAAGCUCCGGCGGUUGUGGAUCGACUCGCGGCCUAUCAGCUUGUUGGUGGGGUAGUGGCCUACCAAGGCGGCGACGGGUAGCCGGCCUGAGAGGGUGACCGGCCACAUUGGGACUGAGAUACGGCCCAGACUCCUACGGGAGGCAGCAGUGGGGAAUAUUGCACAAUGGGCGCAAGCCUGAUGCAGCAACGCCGCGUGCGGGAUAACGGCCUUCGGGUUGUAAACCGCUUUCAGCAGGGACGAAGCUUUUUGUGACGGUACCUGCAGAAGAAGCACCGGCUAACUACGUG